AUUGAACGCUAGCGGGAUGCCUUACACAUGCAAGUCGAACGGAGUGGCGAACGGGUGAGUAAUGUAUCGGAACGUGCCCAGUAGCGGGGGAUAACUACGCGAAAGCGUAGCUAAUACAGCCUACUAUUAGAGCGGCCGAUAUUGGAUUAGCUAGUUAGUGGGGUAACGGCUCACCAAGGCGACGAUCCGUAGCUGGUUUGUGCGGAGGACCAGCCACACCGGGACUUAGCCACGGUCCAGAGUACUACGGGAGGCAGCAGUGGGGAAUGUUGGACAAUGGGGGAAACCCUGAUCCAGCCAUCCCGAGUGUGCGAUGAAGGCCUUCGGGUUGUAAAGCACUUUUGGCAGGAAAGCGGUACCUGCAGAAUAAGCACCGGCUAACUACGUGCCAGCAGCCGCGGUAAUAC
rnacentral:rRNA from 1 species